UACCUAGAAACUCCUAUCCCUACCUCCAAGUGACAGCCGGACUGCGAGCAACCUUAGGGGGAGAUCGGGUAACCAACCCCAGUGGGGACUUUGGUCGUAGGCUGACAGGGCAGG
rnacentral:ribozyme from 1 species